rnacentral:rRNA from 1 species
AAUAUUGGACAAUGGGCGAAAGCCUGAUCCAGCAAUGCCGCGUGAGUGAUGAAGGACUNAGGGUUNUNAAGCUCUCUUACCAGGGNGGAUAAUGACAGUACCUGGAGAAUAAGUUCCGGCUAACCCCGUGCCACCAGCCGCGGUAAUACGGAGGGAGCUAGCGUUGUUCGGGAAUACUGGGCGUAAAGCGCACGUAGGCGGCAUCGUAAGUCAGGGGUGAAAUACCGGGGCUCAACCCCGGAACUGCCCUUGAAACUGCAGUGCUAGAAUCUUGGAGAGACGAGUGGAAUUCCGAGUGUAGAGGUGAAAUUCGUGGAUAUUCGGAAGAACACCAGUGGCGAAGGCGACUCGCUGGACAAGUAUUGACGCUGAGGUGCGAAAGCGUGGGGAGCAAAC